CAAUAGCGUAUAUUAAAGUUGUUGCGGUUAAAAAGCUCGUAGUUGGAUCUCGGCAGGCAGGGGGUGGUUCGCUCUUAGCGCUACUGCCCCAUUUGCCUGUGUGAUUGGCGGAGGUUUCGGGGUGCUCUUCGUUGAGUGACCCGGGGCGCCGUCAGGUUUACUUUGAAAAAAUUAGAGUGCUCAAAGCAGGCUUUUCACGCUUGAAUAUUCGUGCAUGGAAUAAUGGAAUAGGAACUCGUUUUUAUUUUGUUGGUUUUCGGAAAUCGAGUUAAUGAUUAAUAGGGACAAUUGGGGGCAUUAGUAUUCAGACGACAGAGGUGAAAUUCUUGGACCGUCUGAAGACUAACUACUGCGAAAGCAUUUGCCAAGAGUGUUUUCAUUAA
rnacentral:rRNA from 1 species